rnacentral:misc_RNA from 1 species
AAGUCGUAACAAGGUUUCCGUAGGUGAACCUGCGGAAGGAUCAUUAAUGAAUUUUGAAAGGAGGCUGUUGCUGGUCCUCUUGGGCAUUGUGCACGCCUCUAAUCUUCAUCCACUUCUCACCCCUGUGCACUCCUGCGUGAGCCUGCUUCUUUUGUGGGCUUGCGUCUUUUUUAUCAUAAACUCUUAUGCAUGUCUCAGAAUGUUGUGUUGCAUUAUGCAAUCUUGUACAACUUUCAACAACGGAUCUCUUGGCUCUC